rnacentral:misc_RNA from 1 species
UUUCCGUAGGUGAACCUGCGGAAGGAUCAUUACCGAGUGAGGGCCCUUUGGGUCCAACCUCCCACCCGUGUUUAUUUACCUUGUUGCUUCGGCGGGCCUGCCUUAACUGGCCGCCGGGGAGCUUACGCCCCGGGGCCCGCGCCCGCCGAAGACACCCUCGAACUCUGUCUGAAGAUUGUAGUCUGAGUAAAAAUAUAAAUUAUUUAAAACUUUCAACAACGGAUCUCUUGGUUCCG